UGAUGAAAAUUCUCCGGAAUCUCUGCACAACAUUGAUGAUUUGCUUGAACCCUUUUUUAGCUGAUGACUGUAGUUUACUAUG
ensembl:snoRNA small nucleolar RNA MBII-202